AGCGAACGUUAGCGGCGGGCUUAACACAUGCAAGUCGCACGAGAACGAGGGGGCAACUCCUCUAGUAAAGUGGCGCACGGGUGCGUAACACGUAGGUGAACUACCCUCCGAUGGGGGACAACCGGCCGAAAGGCUGGCUAAUACCGCGUAAGUCAACGGGGCAUUCGGGCUCUGUUGGGAAAGCGGCCCUCUUCACGAAAGGUCGCGUCGGAGGUUGUGCCUGCGGCCCAUCAGCUAGUUGGUGAGGAAUGGCUCACCAAGGCUAAGACGGUAGCUGGUCUGAGAGGAUGAUCAGCCACACUGGAACUGAGACACGGUCCAGACUCCUACGGGAGGCAGCAGU
rnacentral:rRNA from 1 species